rnacentral:rRNA from 1 species
UGCAGUCGAGCGGAACGAGUUAUCUGAACCUUCGGGGGACGAUAACGGCGUCGAGCGGCGGACGGGUGAGUAAUGCCUAGGAAAUUGCCCUGAUGUGGGGGAUAACCAUUGGAAACGAUGGCUAAUACCGCAUGAUGCCUACGGGCCAAAGAGGGGGACCUUCGGGCCUCUCGCGUCAGGAUAUGCCUAGGUGGGAUUAGCUAGUUGGUGAGGUAAGGGCUCACCAAGGCGACGAUCCCUAGCUGGUCUGAGAGGAUGAUCAGCCACACUGGAACUGAGACACGGUCCAGACUCCUACGGGAGGCAGCAGUGGGGAAUAUUGCACAAUGGGCGCAAGCCUGAUGCAGCCAUGCCGCGUGUGUGAAGAAGGCCUUCGGGUUGUAAAGCACUUUCAGUCGUGAGGAAGGUGGUGUAGUUAAUAGCUGCAUUAUUUGACGUUAGCGACAGAAGAAGCACCGGCUAACUCCGUGCCAGCAGCCGCGGUAAUACGGAGGGUGCGAGCGUUAAUCGGAAUUACUGGGCGUAAAGCGCAUGCAGGUGGUUUGUUAAGUCAGAUGUGAAAGCCCGGGGCUCAACCUCGGAAUAGCAUUUGAAACUGGCAGACUAGAGUACUGUAGAGGGGGGUAGAAUUUCAGGUGUAGCGGUGAAAUGCGUAGAGAUCUGAAGGAAUACCGGUGGCGAAGGCGGCCCCC